UGGGGAAUUUUGGACAAUGGGCGAAAGCCUGAUCCAGCAAUGCCGCGUGUGUGAAGAAGGCCUUCGGGUUGUAAAGCACUUUUGUCCGAAAAGAAAUCCUUGGCUCUAAUACAGUCGGGGGAUGACGGUACCGGAAGAAUAAGCACCGGCUAACUACGUGCCAGCAGCCGCGGUAAUACGUAGGGUGCAAGCGUUAAUCGGAAUUACUGGGCGUAAAGCGUGCGCAGGCGGUUUGCUAAGACCGAUGUGAAAUCCCCGGGCUCAACCUGGGAACUGCAUUGGUGACUGGCAGGCUAGAGUAUGGCAGAGGGGGGUAGAAUUCCACGUGUAGCAGUGAAAUGCGUAGAGAUGUGGAGGAAUACCGAUGGCGAAGGCAGCCCCCUGGGCAAUACUGACGCUCAUGCACGAAAGCGUGGGGAGCAAACAGGAUUAGAUACCCUGGUAGUCCACGCCCUAAACGAUGUCAACUAGUUGUUGGGGAUUCAUUUCCUUAGUAACGUAGCUAACGCGUGAAGUUGACCGCCUGGGGAGUACGGUCGCAAGAUUAAAACUCAAAUGAAUUGACGGGGUCAUAGCUG
rnacentral:rRNA from 1 species